rnacentral:sRNA from 1 species
UUGGCCUGUAGAUUUAUAAUAAUAAUUAUGGUGAAUCCCCCUGUGCGGUGGGGCGUUCUGGUGAUUAUUUCCCUGAAGGCACGCGGACAGACGUCACCAGUGUUCUGUUCACCGGGAGGCACCCGGCACCAUAACCUUACGUGUUUUGCUCGUUUGAUUAUUGUAUCCAUAUUCUACCGCACCAUGAUGUGCGGUUUUUUUUGC